rnacentral:lncRNA from 1 species
GCCGCACUUUGGCUCGGGUGAGGCUUUGGGAGCGCUGGGCUGGAUCGGCCGCCGGUUCAGCCCAAGGGAGGCGCUCCCGGCCGGAGCAGGAGCCGCAGCUCCCGGCACCCUCGGCAGCAGCAAAGCAGAACCGCGAAAAAAGAUUAAAAAAAUGGGAAUAAGGGGUUUUUAACAUUCCACAGGCUGGGAUGCUGUUGCUUCACUCCGGGAUGGUGCUCGCUCCCGGCUCGCAGGAUUCUCAGCUCCUAACUCCCCGUGCUUCUGAACUCAUCCUCUGCCAUCCAUAGGGGUUUUUUCCUUCCCUCCUGGAGCAAAGCCGAGCAGGAUAACCGGCUGAUUGUUUGAUCUGUCCACGCCAGCCCGGAAUAAAAUCUCGUUUUUAAUGAAGCGCCAAGGAAAGCCGGAGCUCAGCACAAUUCCCUGCCCGCCGGAGAUCCCAAUCUCGCCCUGCCGGCAGAGCGGAGCGGGCGCUGCCGCUCCAUGAGCCGGCAUUCCCGGCAGGGAGGCGAGCGCAGCCUGCUCCCGCAUCCCUGGCUCCGGCAUUCCCGGCUCCCCCAUCCCUGGCUCCGGCAUUCCCGGCUCCCCCAUCCCUGGCUCCAGCAUUCCCGGCUCCCGCAUCCCUGGAUCAAGCAUCCUCGGCUCCAGCGUGUCUGGAUCCCGCAUUCCUGGAUCCAGCACUCCCGGAUCCCUCACUCUCGGAUCCCGCAUUCCCUGCUCCAGCAUUCCCGGCUCCAUCAUUCCCGGAUCCUUCAUUCCCAGCUCCAGCAUUCUCGGAUCCCGCAUUCCCUGCUCCAUCAUUCCCGGAUCCUUCAUUCCCGGCUCCAGCAUUCCCGACUCCCGGGCUGCCCCGGCCGCCGAGGGAGCGAUGGAAAAUCCCUGAGCCAGCGCCUGGAAAAUCCGUGCGGCAAAGGCCCAUUUUGCCCCUGGUGAGUUUUCUGUGUUUUUUGUGGCGUGGUGUGACCUACUCAGAGAGGAGCAGAGCCCUUAUCCCUCCCUGGCCAUAUGUUCCCAGAAAUAAUCAUCAUUUUCCAUCAGGGCUGCUAUGUGGGCUCUUCCCUGUCUACUUUGUUGUCCCUGGUUGAGUUUUUAUAAAUUUGCUGUGGAAAUCUGAUGGGCUUCACAGCAGAAAUGUGUGUCUGGAGGCAGGACUCCUUCCCCACCAACAAUAAAGUAUUGUCAACCCCAUAAAAAUCUAUUUUG